UACGGAGGAUGCAAGCGUUAUCCGGAAUCAUUGGGCGUAAAGCGUCCGCAGGUGGCUAUUCAAGUCUGCUGUCAAAGCAUGGAGCUUAACUCCAUAGAGGCAGUGGAAACUGAAAGGCUAGAGGCCGGUAGGGGUAGUGGGAAUUCCCAGUGUAGCGGUGAAAUGCGUAGAGAUUGGGAAGAACAUCGGUGGCGAAAGCGCACUACUGGGCAGGACCUGACACUGAGGGACGAAAGCUAGGGGAGCAAAAGGG
rnacentral:rRNA from 1 species